CGUCAAAAAACAUGGCCGCCGUUACUUAAAAUAGAACAUAGGGGUCAAACGCAGUUUUUGGCUUAUAUCUCAAAAACGAAAGCAUUUAGAGCAAAUCUGACAUGUAGUAAAAAUGUUCAUUAGGUCAAUAUCUAUCAGCCCUGAAAUUUUCAGAUGAAUCAAACAACCAAUUAUUGGGUUGCUGCCACUUAAUUGGUAAUUUUAAGGAAAUUUUGCAGUUUUUGGUCAUUAUCUUGAAUAUUAUGAUAGAUAAAGAUAAACUGUAAACAGCAAAAAUGAUCAGCAAAGUAAGAUCUACAAAUAAGUUAAUAUGACCAAAAUUGUCAAUUGACCCCUUAAGGGGUUAUUGUCCUUUAAUGACAAUUUUUAA
rnacentral:lncRNA from 1 species